CUUACCAUGCAGUCGAACGGCAGCACGGGGGCAACCCUGGUGGCGAGUGGCGAACGGGUGAGUAAUACAUCGGAACGUGUCCUGUAGUGGGGGAUAGCCCGGCGAAAGCCGGAUUAAUACCGCAUACGAUCUACGGAAGAAAGCGGGGGAUCGCAAGACCUCGCGCUAUAGGGGCGGCCGAUGGCAGAUUAGCUAGUUGGUGGGGUAAAGGCCUACCAAGGCGACGAUCUGUAGCUGGUCUGAGAGGACGACCAGCCACACUGGGACUGAGACACGGCCCAGACUCCUACGGGAGGCAGCAGUGGGGAAUUUUGGACAAUGGGGGAAACCCUGAUCCAGCAAUGCCGCGUGUGUGAAGAAGGCCUUCGGGUUGUAAAGCACUUUUGUCCGGAAAGAAAACUUCUGCCCUAAUACGGUGGGAGGAUGACGGUACCGGAAGAAUAAGCACCGGCUAACUACGUGCCAGCAGCCGCGGUAAUACGUAGGGUGCGAGCGUUAAUCGGAAUUACUGGGCGUAAAGCGUGCGCAGGCGGUUCGUUAAGACAGAUGUGAAAUCCCCGGGCUUAACCUGGGAACUGCAUUUGUGACUGGCGAGCUAGAGUAUGGCAGAGGGGGGUAGAAUUCCACGUGUAGCAGUGAAAUGCGUAGAGAUGUGGAGGAAUACCGAUGGCGAAGGCAGCCCCCUGGGCCAAUACUGACGCUCAUGCACGAAAGCGUGGGGAGCAAACAGGAUUAGAUACCCCUGGUAGUCCACGCCCUAAACGAUGUCAACUAGUUGUUGGGUCUUCAUUGACUUAGUAACGUAGCUAACGCGUGAAGUUGACCGCCUGGGGAGUACGGUCGCAAGAUUAAAACUCAAGAGAA
rnacentral:rRNA from 1 species